GAAAAAAUCAAAAGUUCCCUCAUCAGUCAUAACCCAGUUAGUUCCACUUCCUUCGUCCCUGUCACCUCUUCGAUUGCACAAAAAGCUCAUACGUCAUCGGUUUUGGUGGGAUUUCAAAUGUCAUGGGAUGUUGUCACGGUGCGCUCAGUCAGUUUCGGAGAGAGAAGGCACUUCAAGUUUUUGUCACUGCGUGGAAUAUUGUCUCAGAUCUCUUGCCCCUCCAAGGUACAUUCCCAAUAUGCUCUUGUAAUAUACAGUUGGACAUGUUGUGAUUUUGUUGUCAAUUUGAGUAAUGCUCUGUUAUGAAUACGAACGAUAUCAUGUUAUCAGAUUAUUGAUUGUGAAAUUUGAACUAUGGAUCAAGUGGAAAGCUGUUUGUAAAAUUCUAGGUGUGAGUAAAACAAAUGAUAUCUUUCUUGUAUGUUGUAUCUUUGCUCUUCUAAAAGAAACUAGAUUCCAGGUGCCCACUCGUGUGUACAUACUUGCCAAGCUAUGAAAUGACGGGUUCUUCAGCCUUUUUGUGUUCCUCUUGGUCCCCUGCAAGGCUCAAGGAUUCUCCGAGGCAUACAAGAUCCAUUUUCAUAAGAUUCACUUUUGUAAUAAUUUAUUAUCAUCUCAAAACUGGAACCACUAGCUUCCCUUGUUCAUUAGUUCUGCUUUUCACUUGGACUAACAAGCUUGUCCUGGUUGAAGUUUUCUUUUGUCUCUGACCUCCUAUGAGGUAUUUCAGAGCUUUCUUGUAUGUUGGUUUUUUGUCCUCUUAGUGAAAGUUUACUUGCCAAAAUAAAAA